GGCUCAGGAUGAACGCUAGCGGCAGGCUUAAUACAUGCAAGUCGUGGGGCAGCAUGAGUAGCAAUACUUGAUGGCGACCGGCAAACGGGUGAGGAACACGUACACAACCUUCUUCAAGCGGGGAAUAGCCCAGAGAAAUUUGGAUUAAUACCCCAUAAUAUAUUUGAUAAGGCAUCUUAUUAAUAUUAAAAGCUUCGGCACUUGAUGAUGGGUGUGCGGCUGAUUAGAUAGUUGGCGGGGUAACGGCCCACCAAGUCUACGAUCAGUAGCUGAUGUGAGAGCAUGAUCAGCCACACGGGCACUGAGACACGGGCCCGACUCCUACGGGAGGCAGCAGUAAGGAAUAUUGGACAAUGGACGAAAGUCUGAUCCAGCCAUGCCGCGUGAAGGAUUAAGGUCCUCUGGAUUGUAAACUUCUUUUAUAUGGGACGAAAAAAGGGCGUUCUUGUUCACUUGACGGUACCAUAUGAAUAAGCACCGGCUAACUCCGUG
rnacentral:rRNA from 1 species